AUGGUAGAGAAGCGCCAGGCCUCCGGCGACGCUCCCGGGACGUCGCGGCCACCUGCACGGAUGAGGGCUGCCUCAACCGACGACGAAGACGUGUCCUCCAUAGACGUCUGGAUCGACGCAAGCCUUGGGAGAGAAGGGGUGCGCAGGAGGACGGAGGUGGUGUCUCAGCCGCCGCCAUCGCUGCAGUCUGUGCUGGUGGCAGGAAUGGGCGCCAACCCGACAGCCAACACUGGGCGGCGGUCAGCGCCGAGACGGAGCGACUACAUCGGUGGCCAGCGCUUGGCUGCCGGCGAGGAAGCGGAAGUGACGUCCAGGUGGAGACCCGUCUCCGCUCUCGACGCAGAAGCGUCGCCGUCCGGGAAUGAGGAGGAGCUCGUUGCGGCGGUGACACAGCCGCGGCCACCUCCACUGGCCGAUCAGCCCUCUGCGGCGGAGGCGCAGCCACUGCCACACCCCGAUGAGUCCGUUGGGUCGGCGGCGACUGCACCGGAGAUGGUGGUGCCGGCCCCGGCCGACAGCCGUUGA
rnacentral:rRNA from 1 species